rfam:Zea mays cultivar B73 chromosome 1, whole genome shotgun sequence.
UGGCGAUGAUGACAAAGCCAAGGCUUGUUUCUUGACAUUUGCAGUAGCCACCCAAGAGCUUUCUCCCUGCUAGGCUUGAGAGCUAGUCCUGCUAAUUCCUUCAUGGGAUGUCUGAGCCA